CCUACGGGAGGCAGCAGUAGGGAAUCUUCCACAAUGGGCGAAAGCCUGAUGGAGCAACGCCGCGUGGGUGAAGAAGGUCUUUGGAUCGUAAAACCCUGUUGUUAGAGAAGAAAGUGCGUGAGAGUAACUGUUCACGUUUCGACGGUAUCUAACCAGAAAGCCACGGCUAACUACGGGCCAGCAGCCGCGGUAAUACGUAGGUGGCAAGCGUUAUCCGGAUUGAUUGGGCGUAAAGGGAACGCAGGCGGUCUUUUAAGUCUGAUGUGAAAGCCUUCGGCUUAACCGGAGUAGUGCAUUGGAAACUGGGAGACUUGAGUGCAGAAGAGGAGAGUGGAACUCCAUGUGUAGCGGUGAAAUGCGUAGAUAUAUGGAAGAACACCAGUGGCGAAAGCGGCUCUCUGGUCUGUAACUGACGCUGAGGUUCGAAAGCGUGGGUAGCAAACAGGAUUAGAUACCCCUGUAGUC
rnacentral:rRNA from 1 species